rnacentral:misc_RNA from 1 species
AAGUUAUAAUAAGGUUUCCAUAGGUGAACCUGCGGAAGGAUCUUUAAUGAAUUUUCCCCAUAAUAUAUGAGAGAAUUUCAAAAAAAUAAUUCCAUAUCCACCUUGUGUGCACCGAAACAAAAUAUGUUUUGAAAGUGCUUUUGGUCUUUGCAUAAAGAUUGUCUUUUUCAAGGCCAAAAGGCAACUUUCUCUCUCUCCCCUUUUUUUUAACGUGUCUAAGAAUAAAAAAGUCCGGAAAUUCAUAAAAAUGAAAAUAUAUAUAUAUAUAUAAACGACUUCCAGCAACGGAUCUCAAGGCUCUU